rnacentral:sRNA from 1 species
AUGAAAGGGCCAACUGCCUCCCACAUUUGGGUACAUCCGUUUGUGGCAGCCUCCCUUCCUUGGGAACAGCAUCAUUGGGUAAGCUUCCAAGGUGGUUCCAAAGGAGCAAUUACAGGACAUUCAAGGAAGAACCUUACCCUGAGGUGUGACUAAGUCACUGGAGCUGAUACAGGAUGGUGUCUGGGCCUUCUUGGGGACACUGCACUACACUGGGUGAAUUCAGCCUUGUCCUCAGGCAGAAUGUUCAGGGCUGGAUUGAGUGGAGGGUCCGUGAGCUGAUUCAGUCAACAAGUGGUACCAUUGCUAAUGUACUUUUCUCAGCUCAGUUUCUUUGUUCUUGAAAAGCUGAUUUAAAAACCACCUGGUAGGGACAAACGAUGUUGCAUCAUGCUCUCAGAGCUGGAGGCUGAGAGGGAUUCUGGAGAGCAUCCCUCAGGGCAGGGAAGGCCAGGUGUAGAUGUAGGUGAGACGCUGGUCUCAGGCUCAUCCAGGAGAAACAGCUGCCAGGAGAGAGGGGAGUAAGAUGGCAACUUCAUUGAAGAAAUAGCAACAAGAGAAAAAAUAAGGAGAGAACGGCUGGGAAAGACACCCCCACCCCCACGGCAGCUGUCUCCCAGCCAGCCCUCUUUCUCUAGUUGUGUCUCCAAGUGCAGCUAGGUCCUUUGCUGCUCCAAGAAGAGCAUGGAGAUUCCCCUUGUCGUUUAUCCCUGGGCUUCCCUCAGUGAGCCUGUGGCUCCUGCUCACAGGUUCAGGGCAACAGAGGCCAUGGCUCCUCCCAUCCCAGAGGCUGCUUCAUCAUCAGCUCAACCCCCUGCCACUCAGGUAAGCGCGCAAGACACUAACUCCUGUCCACAGAGACCAGACAUAACCAAGGCCAAGUGCCUGUCUGUCAUUCCAGGCCUUGUUACCCCACUUGGAUUGUGUAAUGUUUGUGUGCCCAACAAGCACCAACGAGUUUCUGGCUUGUGGUUGGACAUCGGCAGUACAUGUGACACUGUGACUCUUGGGUUGACUACUGGUUUCUGCUAGUUGUUACUUCCAAUGUGUGAUGUUACAAAAUGCAAACAUUACCUCAUUUUAGCCCAAAGCUAUUGAGGCCUGUUGAUUAAAGGACUCAGGAAAUGAGGCCAUGGGGUCGAUUUCACACCCCAAGGGCCACCCGAGUCAUGUGAUCAAGCGUGUGACAGAUUCAGACUUUGAUUAGUUACAUGCCAAUGCUGUGACAUUCUUAGAAGGUUUACCCUUGGCCUUUGCCUUCUUAAUGGGCUAAGUGUGCAAAGGGUGCAUGACUUCUUACCCGCAGAAUAUUUAUGGCUUUUAUUAGAGUCGAACAUAAAACUACCUAAGUGCUAAGUAAAAAGUCUAGACACCAUUUUCGUUUCAAAGGAUGAUUCACAGCAACUGACAUAACGGAAACUUUGUAGCUGAAGGGACAGCCUGGCCCAUGCUUCUAAUACUCCCAUACUAGAAAAGCCCUUUUCUGUCUGAUUCUGACUCAACAUCUCCACUUUCCUACACAAAGGGAAAGGAAAUAGGUUUGAAUGUUUCUAUUAUAUAGAAUCUCAGUUCUUUAAGCUGCAUCUUAUGCACACAAUGCUCCUGGGACUGAGAAUGUAUCUCUUACAGCUACAUUGACUUCUUUUUCCUCCUUCAGGCUAAUUGGUCUCUAGAUUAUCCAAUUAGUCUGGAUUCACCUUCUGAGAGGGCAGCAGCUGGGCUUUCUAUGUGCACAAAGCCACCUCUGAUGAUCCUGGGUGCUUAAUUGUUCAAUUCUUGCAAUUAUUCACGUUCUGGGGAUGGACCCAGGUGCCUCCAGGCACUGAUAGGUUUUUAAGUAAAGCUAAUGAGCACACGGAAAGCACUGGGCCAGAGACUCACCAUGUAGCAGGCAGUUGAGCAAAGGGGCCAUUGCAGAGAUCAGCCAGCUCGGACUGUCCAUCUGGGCCUGCAGGACACUAUUUAAACCAGUAGGCUACAGACUUUCAAGUUAUAUGUGUUAAAACUCUCAUUGGAGAGUCAAAAGCAUUCCUACAUAUUACCAUUUUCAUGGUCUGCACUUAGCCGUUUAAUAGCUGGGUGUUGCCCCAGUUGAAAUCAAUAGGAACAUUGAAAAUCUAACAACAUUCCCUCCUCCCCACUGGGUCUCACUGUGUUGCCUAAGCUAUCCUGGGACCUCUGGGCUCAAGUGACCUCUUUGCCUCAGUCUCCUAAGUAAUUAGGACUACUAGGUAGUAAUCUAGGGUGCCACAGAGACACCCACUUGUCAUAGAGGUCUCUGUCCUUUCUCCCAUUCCCGGAGGCCAUACAGAAAGCUGGCUAUGUGGCGUAACAAACAACAUUAUCUUCAGAGGAACUCUGAGAAUUCGAGGAAUGAGAAGAGAAAGCCCUCAUUUGUCACAGAAGGCGGCGCACAUUAGGACUCAGAGCAGACCUCUCCAGAAGCCUGACAGAAAAAUGAAGCAAAAGAAAAUGGGAAGCAGCUUCCUCCUCUUCACAGGACUGGCAGCGGCUUGAUCUGUGGUUGCAUGGGAGCCAUCAAACAAGGGGAGGCAGCAAGGCACCACCUCCAACUGUAACUGCUCACAAAAGCAGACAUCAUUGUCUGCCUUGUUGAGCAACUUUUAAAAGAAUGGGUGAAAACCACACUAAACCGUUACUUUAGAUGCGUGGAAAUAUUUUAAAGCGUUUUAAGGGCAAAGGGGUUAUUUUGUAAAAGCGACUCUUGAACGGCAGCCCUGAGGCAAGAUUCUUGGUCUUCCUCCUGCCUUAUACUGUGGGUCACUCUUUGGUAAGAACCCCAGAAAACUACCGCUCGAUCCCAUCAUUUUGCAAGGGAUCAUGUCCUCAUACGGACCCCACCAUGAAAUGAGUUUUACCAAAGCCUCUCCACGCCACACACAUGUAUUUGAGAUAGCUUCCUGUUGGUCAUAGGAUGCUCCCACUAAUUACCCACUGGGAUUCCCCUGCAGAAGGAAGCCGGAAGGAAGCAUCAUUUACAAGGACAUCUGCCUGAACUCUGCUGGAGAACAGAGGGAAAACUCUGAGAUGCUCUUAUACCAGCCACGAGGUGCUGUCUUAGGGUGCUGCAAUGAAUGACCAUGACCAAAAGACAAGUUGGAGAGAAAAGGGUUAAUUCGGUUCACACAUGUCCUGAUCAUAGCCCAUCACUGGAGGAAGUCAGAACAGGAACUCAAGUCAGGCUGGAAUAUGAAGGCAGGAGCUUCAUGAUGCAGAAGCCGUGGAGGGAUGCUGCUUACUGGCUUUGCUGCACAAGACUUGCUCUCCCUACUUUCUUAUAGAACUCAGGACAACUCUGCCCAGGGGUAGCAUCACCCACAAUGGGCUGCCCCCCCCAUUGAUCACUAAUUAAGAAAAAGCCUUACAGUUGGAUCUCAUAGAGCCAUUUCUUCAACUGAGGCUCCUUCCUCUGUGAUGUCUCUAGCUUGUGUCAAGUCGACCCACAAAACCAACCAGAGCGAGGGCAGCAUUCAGUCAUUAGUUCACAUACCAAACAUCCAGGAAAACCCUGUGCACACCUUAUGUGCUGGGGCUGGGAGACCAUAGUAAAAGUAUGUUGCAGUGUCUGUCUGUGGUAUCUGGUAACUGCCAUGUUUCAUAGAGACGCAAAAAUAAAAUAUGGCUACCCCA